AUUGAACGCUAGCGGGAUGCCUUACACAUGCAAGUCGAACGAGUGGCGGCCGGGUGAGUAAUAUAUCGGAACGUGCCCAGUAGCGGGGGAUAACUACUCGAAAGAGUGGCUAAUACCGCAUACUACCGGAGCGGCCGAUAUCGGAUUAGCUAUUUGGUGGGGUAAAGGCUCAACAAGGCAACGAUCCGUCGCUGGUUUGAGAGGACGACCAGCCACACUGGGACUGAGACACGGCCCAGACUCCGACGGGAGGCAGCAGUAGGGAAUUUUGGACAAUGGGGGAAAGCCUGAUCCAGCCAUCCCGCGUGUAUGAGAAGGCCUUCGGGUUGUAAAGUGCUUUUGGCAGAGAAGCGGUAUCUACAGAAUAAGCACCGGCUAACUACGUGCCAGCAGCCGCGGUAAUAC
rnacentral:rRNA from 1 species